rnacentral:rRNA from 1 species
AACGAACGCUGGCGGCAGGCUUAACACAUGCAAGUCGAGCGCCCCGCAAGGGGAGCGGCAGACGGGUGAGUAACGCGUGGGAAUCUACCCAUCUCUACGGAAUAACGCAUGGAAACGUGUGCUAAUACCGUAUACGUCCUUCGGGAGAAAGAUUUAUCGGAGAUGGAUGAGCCCGCGUUGGGUUAGCUAGUUGGUGGGGUAAAGGCCUACCAAGGCGACGAUCCAUAGCUGGUCUGAGAGGGUGAUCAGCCACACUGGGACUGAGACACGGCCCAGACUCCUACGGGAGGCAGCAGUGGGGAAUAUUGGACAAUGGGCGCAAGCCUGAUCCAGCCAUGCCGCGUGAGUGAUGAAGGCCCUAGGGUUGUAAAGCUCUUUCACCGGUGAAGAUAAUGACGGUAACCGGAGAAGAAGCCCCGGCUAACUUCGUGCCAGCCGCCGCCGUAAAAC